GUAGUCCACGCCCUAAACGAUGGGUACUAGACGUCGGGAUAGUCUAUCUUCUUGGUCUCGCAGCUAACGCAAUAAGUACCCCGCCUGGGGAGUACGCCCGCAAGGUUAAAACUCAAAGGAAUUGACGGGGGCCCGCACAACCGGUGGAGCAUGUGGUUCAAUUAGAUGCAACGCGAGAACACCUUACCUGCCCUGGACAUCUGGGGAAUCGUGCAGAGAUGCGGGAGUGCCUUCGGGAGCCCCAAGACAGGUGGUGCAUGGCUGUCGUCAGCUCGUUUCGUGAGAUGUUGGGUUAAGUCCCGUAACGAGCGCGACCCUCCUCCUUUAGUUACCAUCAUUCAGUUGGGGACUCUAAGGAGACUGCCGGUGACAAACCGGAGGAAGGUGGGGAUGACGUCAAGUCAUCAUGGCCUUUAUGGGCAGGGCCACACACGUGCUACAAUGGCCGGUACAGAGGGUCGCCAACCCGCGAGGGGGAGCUAAUCUCACAAAGCCGUUUGUAGUCCGGAUUGGAGUCUGCAAUUAGAUUCCAUGAAGUCGGAAUCGUUAGUAUUCGCGGAUCAGCACGCCGCGGUGAAUACGUUCCCGGGCCUUGUACACACCGCCCGUCACACCCAUGGGAGUUGGCCAUCGCCCGAAGUCGUUACUCCAACC
rnacentral:rRNA from 1 species